rnacentral:rRNA from 1 species
GUCGUCAGCUCGUGUCGUGAGAUGUUGGGUUAAGUCCCGCAACGAGCGCAACCCUUGUCUUUAGUUACCAUCAUUAAGUUGGGGACUCUAGAGAGACUGCCGGUGAUAAACCGGAGGAAGGUGGGGAUGACGUCAAAUCAUCAUGCCCCUUAUGACCUGGGCUACACACGUACUACAAUGGCGCAUACAACGAGCUGCGAGAUGGUGACAUCAAGCGAAUCUCUUAAAAUGCGUCUCAGUUCGGAUUGGAGUCUGCAACUCGACUCCAUGAAGUCGGAAUCGCUAGUAAUCGCGGAUCAGCAUGCCGCGGUGAAUACGUUCUCGGGGUUU